UGCGAGUGAAGAGGGAAGAGCUCAAAUUUGAAAUCUGGCAGUGUUUUGCUGUCCGAGUUGUAAUCUAGAGAAGUGCUGCCCGUGCUGGACCAUGUACAAGUCUCCUGGAAUGGAGCGUCACAGAGGGUGAGAAUCCCGUCUUUGACAUGGACUGCCAGUGCAUUUGUGGUGUGCUCUCAAAGAGUCGAGUUGUUUGGGAAUGCAGCUCUAAAUGGGUGGUAAACUCCAUCUAAAGCUAAAUAUUGGCGAGAGACCGAUAGCGAACAAGUACCGUGAGGGAAAGAUGAAAAGAACUUUGGAAAGAGAGUUAAACAGUAUGUGAAAUUGUUGAAAGGGAAACGCUUAAAGUCAGUCGUGUCGGCCAGGGAUCAACUCAGUAGUAUCCACUGGGUGUAUUUCCUGAUCUGAUGGGCCAACAUCAGUUUUGACUGCUGGAAAAGGAUAGAGGGAAUGUGGCACCUUUGGGUGUGUUAUAGCUCUCUGUCGGAUGCAGUGGUUGGGACUGAGGAAAGCAGCAUGCCGCAAGGCCGGGUCGUUUCGACCACGUUCAUGCUGAGGAUGUUGGCAUAAUGGCUUUAAUCGACCCGUCUUGAAACACGGACCAAGGAGUCUAACAUGCCUGCGAGUGUUUGGGUGGCAAACCCGAGUGCGGAAUGAAAGUGAAAGGUUGAGAUCCCUGUCAUGGGGAGCAUCGACGCCCGGACCUGAGCUCUUGCAAAGGAUCUGCGGUAGAGCAUGUAUGUUAGGACCCGAAAGAUGGUGAACUAUGCCUGAAUAGGGUGAAGCCAGAGGAAACUCUGGUGGAGGCUCGUAGCGAUUCUGACGUGCAAAUCGA
rnacentral:rRNA from 1 species